rnacentral:ncRNA from 2 species
CCCGAAAGAUGGUGGACUAUGCUUGAUCAGGUUGAAGUCGAGGGAAACCCUGAUGAAAGACCGAAACAGUUCUGCAAAUCGAUUGCCUGAAAUGAGUAUGGGGGAAAAAUACCAAUCGAACCCUCUUGUAGCUAG